rnacentral:rRNA from 1 species
GAUGAACGCUGGCGGUAUGCUUAACACAUGCAAGUCGAACGGACUCUUCGGAGUUAGUGGCGGACGGGUGAGUAACGCGUGAGAAUCUGGCUUUGGGUUCGGGACAACCCCUGUAAACGGUGGCUAAUACCGGAUGUGCCGAGAGGUAAAAGAGAAAUUGCCUGAAGAUGAGCUCGCGUCUGAUUAGCUAGUUGGUGAGGUAAAGGCUCACCAAGGGAGCGAUAAGUAGCUGGUCUGAGAGGAUGACCAGCCACACUGGGACUGGGACACGGCCCAGACUCCUACGGGAGGCAGCAGUGGAGAAUUUUCCGCAAUGGGCGAAUGCCUGACGGAGCAAUACCGCGUGAGGGAAGAAGGCUCUUGGGUUGUAAACCUCUUUUCUUAGGGAAGAACAAAAUGACGGUACCUAAGGAAUCAGCAUCGGCUAACUCCGUG